GACGAACGCUGGCGGCGUGCCUAAUACAUGCAAGUCGAGCGCAGGAAACUGACGGAACUCUUCGGAGGGAAGGCAGUGGAAUGAGCGGCGGACGGGUGAGUAACACGUAAGGAACCUACCUUAAGGAUUGGGAUAACUCCGAGAAAUCGGAGCUAAUACCGGAUAGUUCAACGGACCGCAUGGUCCGCUGAUGAAAGGCGCUCCGGCGUCACCUUGAGAUGGCCUUGCGGUGCAUUAGCUAGUUGGUGGGGUAACGGCCCACCAAGGCGACGAUGCAUAGCCGACCUGAGAGGGUGAUCGGCCACACUGGGACUGAGACACGGCCCAGACUCCUACGGGAGGCAGCAGUAGGGAAUCUUCCACAAUGGACGAAAGUCUGAUGGAGCAACGCCGCGUGAGUGAUGAAGGUUUUCGGAUCGUAAAAUUCUGUUGUAAGGGAAGAACACGUACGAGAGGAAAUGCUCGUACCUUGACGGUACCUUACGAGAAAGCCACGGCUAACUACGUGCCAGCCGCCGCGGUAAUAC
rnacentral:rRNA from 1 species